GGUAUCUUUAAAAAUCCCUGGCGUGGCGACCCCCAGUUGACUCAUGCUAUGCUGGUGGUCGGAUACAACAGCACCAAGUACUGGAUUGUGAAGAACAGUUGGUCUCGCUAUUGGGGGGACAACGGAUACAUGCUCUUGGAACAAGGAUCCAAUCAAUGCGGCAUCACCAACAUGGCUUCCUAUCCCAUUCCAUAACCAGACAAGAGGACCGUUUGAGAAUCAGGACAAAAAAGCUAACUGCAGCAUUGGAAGCUUCUGGAGAACCAGAAAUAUAUACAGUAUAUAUGCUAAAACCAAUAAAUGUUUUUACGCAAUACUA